CCUACGGGAGGCAGCAGUGGGGAAUAUUGCACAAUGGGCGAAAGCCUGAUGCAGCAACGCCGCGUGCGGGGUGACGGCCUUCGGGUUGUAAACCGCUUUCAGUUCCGACGAAGCGCAAGUGACGGUAGGAACAGAAGAAGGACCGGCCAACUACGUGCCAGCAGCCGCGGUGAUACGUAGGGUCCGAGCGUUGUCCGGAAUUAUUGGGCGUAAAGGGCUUGUAGGCGGUUCGUCACGUCGGAAGUGAAAACUCAGGGCUUAACCCUGAGCUGCUUCCGAUACGGGCAAACUAGAGGAAUGCAGGGGAGAACGGAAUUCCUGGUGGAGCGGUGGAAUGCGCAGAUAUCAGGAGGAACACCGGUGGCGAAGGCGGUUCUCUGGGCAUUUCCUGACGCUGAGAAGCGAAAGCGUGGGGAGCAAACAGGCUUAGAUACCCUGGUAGUCCACGCCGUAAACGGUGGGCACUAGGUGUGGGGAACAUUCCACGUUCUCCGUGCCGAAGCUAACGCAUUAAGUGCCCCGCCUGGGGAGUACGGCCGCAAGGCUAAAACUCAAAGGAAUUGACGGGGGCCCGCACAAGCGGCGGAGCAUGCGGAUUAAUUCGAUGCAACGCGAAGAACCUUACCUGGGUUUGACAUAUACCGGAAAGCUGCAGAGAUGUAGCCCCCGCAAGGUCGGUAUACAGGUGGUGCAUGGCUGUCGUCAGCUCGUGUCGUGAGAUGUUGGGUUAAGUCCCGCAACGAGCGCAACCCUCGUCCUAUGUUGCCAGCGGAUAAUGCCGGGGACUCAUAGGAGACUGCCGGGGUCAACUCGGAGGAGGUGGGGAUGACGUCAAGUCAUCAUGCCCCUUAAGUCCAGGGCUUCACGCAUGCUACAAUGGCUGGUACAAAGGGCUGCAAUACCGCAAGGUUGAGCGAAUCCCAAAAAGCCAGUCUCAGUUCGGAUUGGGGUCUGCACUCGACCCCAUGAAGUCGAGUCGCUAGUAAUCGCAGAUCAGCACGC
rnacentral:rRNA from 1 species